GGGCAAGUUGUGCAACUGGGCCAGCGGGCCAUGAGAACUGCUGCCAAGAUUGACUUUCAGACAGAGGAUGGAAUGAGUUUUCACCUGUGUCACUGACAUGCAGCUUUUACCUACCAGCAGACUUCAAAGCCUGUAAUGUUUGGCAGCCAAGCCUGUCUCAGAUUUUUCUAUUGGUUGGAAGAAGUUACUGAAAUUAGAUGGCAAAUGCUCCAUCAGCACUGGAGUCACAUUCCUACGCUAAAGAAGAUUGCUGGUGUUGCUUUCUUGAUUAUAUGUUGCUUCAUGGCUAAAUCUUGAAUUGGAGGCUGGCUGUCUGAAGAGGAUGGUCACCAAAACUGUCCACAAAACACUAUCAGGGUGGCAAGGAAGGAACCAGCCAGGUUUGUGGCCUGCCCUCAAUGAAGACCUCCAGUUCUAGGAGAAUGGAAUUUGCCUCUCCGUAGGCUUGUACCUACUCAGACUCCUCUUUCCAGAGAAGCUACCAGCAGCGUCUGCCAAAACAAAAAGACCAUCUGCAGUCGUCUUGACCUGACAUGGUCUAAGUCUCCUCACAGAUGCAUCCUAUCAUAGUGGGGACCACCAUCUUUCUGAAUCAUGGGGCAAGCUGGGGUACUCACAGGGAAUCCUCACGUGUUCCUACCAAGACAAGUUAAUUCACAGGAGGAAGCUGAGGAGUGUCUCCAGUCAGAAUGCAUUCUGCCAUAGCUCAGGCAGCAUCAGUGGCCUUUCCAUUCACUAGAUUUGCAAACCUGUCAACUGUGAUUUCUCAUUCAUGCUGUUAUCAAACACAGUUCCAUACUGCUAAGGUACCAAUGAACCAGCAAUAACUUGGACAUAAACAAGUAGGGGUUGAGUUAUUAAUUUUUAUUUAAUACUGCAAUUUUCUAUUUAUAGAUAAUUGAGAUAUCUCAUUAGGGCUAUAGAUAAAUAAAAUAAUACUUGCUGAAACUAAACUCCUUUUUAAUAGCUAUCACUAAGAGCAAGCUGCUUACAGCUUUUGUCAAAGUUGUUAAAGUACUGUUGUUUUCAAUGUAAUGAAUGGUACUCUGUAUUUUUAUAUCAUAUACAUAACCAAGAGUAACAGAGCUUUACACAUUUCCUUUGCUGACCUUUAACCAGAAGUAUCAUGUUGGGAUUAUUUUACCUAGGUGAGAUGGCAGAAAUAGUUCAGUUCUGUUAGCUUGUCACUUAACCCUUCUGUGAUCAGUAUCAUAUUUCAAAAUAUAUACUGCUCUUUUAGAUACAGCAAUUUUAUUUUCCUCAGAUUAUAUAUAUAUAUAUAUGCAUAAAAGAAUAACAGUCCUGAUUUUUUACAUAUUCAGUAAGGAAUUUCUUAAAGAGCAGAAAACCUGGCUU